rnacentral:rRNA from 1 species
UACGUAGGGGGCUAGCGUUGUCCGGAAUCAUUGGGCGUAAAGCGCGCGUAGGCGGCCCGGUAAGUCCGCUGUGAAAGUCAAAGGCUCAACCUUUGAAUGUCAGCGGAUACUGCCGGGCUAGAGUCCGGAAGAGGCGAGUGGAAUUCCUGGUGUAGCGGUGGAAUGCGCAGAUAUCAGGAGGAACACCAACGGCGAAGGCAGCUCGCUGGGACGGUACUGACGCUGAGGCGCGAAGCGUGGGGAGCGAACAGG